AACGAUGAACCCGCUUCGGUGGGGGAUUAGUGGCGAACGGGUGAGUAACACGUGGGCAAUCUGCCCUGCACUCUGGGACAAGCCCUGGAAACGGGGUCUAAUACCGGAUACGACCACUGAGGGCAUCCUUGGUGGUGGAAAGCUCCGGCGGUGCAGGAUGAGCCCGCGGCCUAUCAGCUUGUUGGUGGGGUGAUGGCCUACCAAGGCGACGACGGGUAGCCGGCCUGAGAGGGCGACCGGCCACACUGGGACUGAGACACGGCCCAGACUCCUACGGGAGGCAGCAGUGGGGAAUAUUGCACAAUGGGCGAAAGCCUGAUGCAGCGACGCCGCGUGAGGGAUGACGGCCUUCGGGUUGUAAACCUCUUUCAGCAGGGAAGAAGCGAAAGUGACGGUACCUGCAGAAGAAGCGCCGGCUAACUACGUGCCAGCAGCCGCGGUAAUACGUAGGGCGCAAGCGUUGUCCGGAAUUAUUGGGCGUAAAGAGCUCGUAGGCGGCUUGUCGCGUCGGUUGUGAAAGCCCGGGGCUUAACCCCGGGUCUGCAGUCGAUACGGGCAGGCUAGAGUUCGGUAGGGGAGAUCGGAAUUCCUGGUGUAGCGGUGAAAUGCGCAGAUAUCAGGAGGAACACCGGUGGCGAAGGCGGAUCUCUGGGCCGAUACUGACGCUGAGGAGCGAAAGCGUGGGGAGCGAACAGGAU
rnacentral:rRNA from 1 species